rnacentral:lncRNA from 1 species
CUAUACUUCUAAUAUUAUUUGAUUUCUUUUCAUUUUAAUUCAAGUUCGCGUUUUGAGCCUACGGCAAAGUUUCGAGUCUAAUCAUGAUCAUUAAAAGUUUUGAAUAUAAGUAUUAAAAUACUAUUCUCUGAAAACCUAAACUUUUGAAAAAUGAUGGCUAUAUCAUAUGAUUUCACAAUAAACAGGGUAGCACACAGGAAAGUUUAAUUACCCAUUUUGUUAAAUAGUAAGGCUAAAUUACAAAAAAUCUUCCUAUAAAUACCUGCUUUUUUACUUUUUCCUUGUGACUUUUAAAAAUCUAUAUUUUUUUGCCCCCUUAGAAUUUCAGAAAUAUUUUCAGGAAAGUACGUACGGUGUUAAUGGAGAGCGCAAAAUGACCAAAUUACUCUUAUUUUUUCUAUAAAAAAUUAAUUUUUUAAUGUAUUUCUGUCAUUUUGAAGGGGAUUUUCGAUAUAAAUUAUAAAAAAUGGACGGAAUAGUGAUGGAACCCUGACUGAGGGCGGGUUAAAUGCAACAACUUGAAAUUUUAAGGGGGCAAAAUAUAGAUUUUUGAAAACCAGGAAGGAAAAGUGAAAAAGCAGGUAUUUAUAGAGAGAUUUUCUAUAAUUUAG